GCCAGUGUGGUGUAGUGGUUUGAGCAUUGGACUAGAAUUCUGGAAAGCAGGGUUCAAAUCCCAUCUCAGUCA
rnacentral:tRNA from 1 species